GUUUUCUUUUGCGCAAAUUAUAAUAAAAAGUGUUUAGGAGAUGUGAAUAUACUCAAUUAUUAUGCAUAUUUAUUGGUGUUGUGGCUAUGAAGUGUUUUUUAUUGUUUAUUCCAAUGCUGCUGCACGUGGAAAUUGUGAAGGCAGGCCAGGCACAUGUUGCUGUAUGUAAUAGGCUGUGUACAUACAACCUGUACGCAUUGAAGUUGAUUUUCUUCAUCUUUGGCUCUUGUGGCACUUGAUAUAUGGUCAUUAUUACAUUUGUCACACACUCCCGCACAUACAGAGUCUGUGCAUCAUCGGGACUACGACUGCUGCCACCCCCCGAUCAAAGUGGAAUUGGAUUCCAUCUGGCAGAGGCGAAUCAUAAUUGAAGAUUCAACCCAAUCCAAUCCGUACCAGGGGGCAAAGGUGGACACACCAAAGGCCGCCGCCUUCCGUACGACUGGCAAUAAAAUAAAUGCCCAUUUACUGAUGAGUCAUCAGCAUAAUUUUUACGAUUUGCCCCAUUCGAUGAAUAAACAAAUAAAGCAAUGGACACGGCACGCUGGACCCCGUGAAACCCUCUGGAUAUCAUUGGGACUCUCAGUUUGAGCGUGUCACGAAAACAUUUGGCAUGCAUUGACUUUUUAUGAGAGAGGAGAGAAUCGAAAAGCCACAUGCGGGAGAGUGGCUGCGAGAGGGGCACUGGGAUAUCCACAAAUAAUGCAAAAUCAUUUAGUGGAACUCCUAGGAAAGGAACUCAACCAAUCUACAGAUGCUCCUCGCAUUCCCCUGCCAGGCCCUGCCGCCUCAAAGUCAUAAAAUCCCCGACACCGAAUGAAAUUCACAUCAAGACGCAGCAAGUUGGCACAAUUUCACUUUGCCGCUGAAGCAACUUGAAAACACGACCAAAAUGAGCACCGAAUCGUAGUGGGAGUCGGUCGUUUGCCAGGCCAGGCCAGGCCAGGACUCUCGGCA